UCUUCAGUUUGGAAGGAAGAAAAUGUCGUUUAGAGGAAGAGGGAAAGAAGAAAUCUAUCAACUCAAGUGAAGAAAAAUCAAGAACAAGAAUCAAUUGCAAUACUCACGAUAAAUGUGAACUCAUUAGCGAUGAAAGAAAUAAAUGGCUUGCUGACAAGGGAAAUCAUGAACAGCUGUUUUAUAAGUACUCUGUGUGACUCUGCCUACAAAUUCAUCACCAUUCAUCAUUUGACCCCAAUUUCAUCACCUUUUUAAUGGAAAUGACCUCAGCAUUAUUGUUCUGAAGGGAAAAGAAUGACUGCCUUAAUGUUGGUGGAGAUCAUGGAGACUGGGUCAUGUUGUACUCCGCGACCAUAGUGAACCUGCCCUGAGAAAGUUUGUCCACUGAUCAUCCUUGCCUCUCUGAAGAGAAGAGGGGGGCUGGAGAGUCCUUGAGGAUAUUCAAUAUCCAUCAAAGAAAUGUCAAAAGUAUAGAACUCCUUCUGUAGUUUGGAAGUAAGAUGGGCAGACAGUGGUGCCAUGGAAGUGAAGAAAACAGGAAAAACCAUGUGACAGUGAAGGAAUGUUGGAGAUCAACUGUGUGAUUUAGUCCUCCCAAACAAAGAGCUACAAUUAUUAUUCUUGUCAUCAAAUGCACAUAGCUUAAUGCAAAGAGGUCAAACAGAGAGAGAGAGAGAGAGAGAGAGAGAGAGAGAGAGAGAGAGAGAGAGAGAGAUCAAGUUUUACAAUACAGGAAGUGAUUUACCAGCAGAUGUGACAAUGUAUUACUUUUCUAGAGCUAUGGCUUUGAUUGAUAUGAACCCUCUUAUUAAAAUGAAAAACAAUAAAUGCAUCCAACAAAUAAAACUCGGUGUGUU